rnacentral:rRNA from 1 species
UACAGAGGGUGCAAACGUUGCUCGGAAUUAUUGGGCGUAAAGCGCGUGUAGGCGGCUUGUUAAGUCGGUUGUGAAAACCCAUGGCUCAACCAUGGAAGUGCGUCCGAAACUGGCAAGCUAGAGUCCUGACGAGGAUGGCGGAAUUCCCAGUGUAGAGGUGAAAUGCGCAGAUAUCAGGAGGAACACCGAUGGCGAAGGCAGGUCUCUGGGCUGUAACUGACGCUGAGGAGCGAAAGCAUGGGGAGCGAACAGG